UACGUAGGGUGCGAGCGUUGUCCGGAAUUACUGGGCGUAAAGAGUUCGUAGGCGGUUUGUCGCGUCGUUCGUGAAAACUUGGGGCUUAACUCCAAGCGUGCGGGCGAUACGGGCAGACUUGAGUACUACAGGGGAGACUGGAAUUCCUGGUGUAGCGGUGAAAUGCGCAGAUAUCAGGAGGAACACCGGUGGCGAAGGCGGGUCUCUGGGUAGUAACUGACGCUGAGGAACGAAAGCGUGGGUAGCGAACAGGAUUAGAUACCCUGGUAGUCCACGCUGUAAACGGUGGGUACUAGGUGUGGGUUCCUUUUCACGGGAUCCGUGCCGUAGCUAACGCAUUAAGUACCCCGCCUGGGGAGUACGGCCGCAAGGCUAAA
rnacentral:rRNA from 1 species